rnacentral:rRNA from 1 species
UACGGAGGGGGCAAGCGUUAUUCGGAAUUAUUGGGCGUAAAGGGCGCGUAGGCGGCAUGACAAGUCACUUGUGAAAUCUCCGGGCUUAACUCGGAACGGCCAAGUGAAACUGUCAAGCUAGAGUGCAGAAGGGGCAAUCGGAAUUCUUGGUGUAGCGGUGAAAUGCGUAGAUAUCAAGAGGAACACCUGCGGCGAAGGCGGGUUGCUGGGCUGAUACUGACGCUGAGGCGCGAAAGCCAGGGGAGCGAACGGG